rnacentral:rRNA from 1 species
UACGGAGGGAGCUAGCGUUGUUCGGAAUUACUGGGCGUAAAGGGUGCGUAGGCGGCGCGGUAAGUCGGGUGUGAAAUCUCGGAGCUUAACUCCGAAACUGCAUUCGAUACUGCCGUGCUUGAGGACUGGAGAGGAGACUGGAAUUUACGGUGUAGCGGUGAAAUGCGUAGAUAUCGUAAGGAAGACCAGUGGCGAAGGCGGGUCUCUGGACAGUUCCUGACGCUGAGGCACGAAGGUCAGGGGAGCAAACGGG